rnacentral:rRNA from 1 species
GACGAACGCUGGCGGCGUGCUUAACACAUGCAAGUCGAACGAUGACGCCCGAGCUUGCUUGGUCUGACUAGUGGCGAACGGGUGAGUAACACGUGAGCAACCUGCCCUUCACUUUGGGAUAACCUCUGGAAACUGGGGCUAAUACCGGAUAUGAUCUCCUGUCCCAUGGUGGGCGUUGGAAAGUUUUGCCGUGUAGGAUAGGCUUGGGGGCUAUGAGUUUGGUUGGGUGGGAGUGGCAGUCGAAGUCCAUGGGGGGUAGCCGGCCUGAGAGGGCAGACGGCCACACUAGGACUAAGAGACGGCCCAGACUGCUACGUGAGGCAACAGUGGAGAAUAUUGCACAAUGGGCGAGAGCCUGAUGCGGCGACGCCGCGUGCGGGAUGACGGCCUUCGGGUUGUAAACCUCUUUCGGCUGAGACGAAGCGAUAGUGACGGUACCUGCUGAAGAAGCGCCGGCUAACUACGUG